rnacentral:rRNA from 1 species
GAUGAACGCUGGCGGUAUGCUUAACACAUGCAAGUCGAACGGUCACUUCGGUGAUAGUGGCGGACGGGUGAGUAACGCGUGAGAAUCUGUCUUCAGGUCGGGGACAACAGUUAGAAAUGACUGCUAAUACCGGAUGUGCCUUUGGGUGAAAGAUUUAUUGCCUGAAAAAGAGCUCGCGUCAGAUUAGCUAGUAGGUGGUGUAAGAGACUACCUAGGCUCCGAUCUGUAGCUGGUCUGAGAGGACGAUCAGCCACACUGGAACUGAGACACGGUCCAGACUCCUACGGGAGGCAGCAGUGGGGAAUUUUCCGCAAUGGGCGAAAGCCUGACGGAGCAAUACCGCGUGAGGGACGAAGGCUUUUGGGUCGUAAACCUCUUUUCUCAAGGAAGAUGAUGACGGUACUUGAGGAAUAAGCAUCGGCUAACCCUGUG